GAUGAAGAACGUAGCGAAAUGCGAUAAGUAGUGUGAAUUGCAGAAUCCGUGAGUCAUCGAAUCUUUGAACGCACAUUGCGCCCCCUGGUAUUCCGGGGGGCAUGCCUGUCCGAGCGUCAUUGCUGCCCUCAAGCACGGCUUGUGUGUUGGGCCCCGUCCUCCGAUCCCGGGGGACGGGCCCGAAAGGCAGCGGCGGCACCGCGUCCGGUCCUCGAGCGUAUGGGGCUUUGUCACCCGCUCUGUAGGCCCGGCCGGCGCUUGCCGAUCAACCCAAAUUUUUAUCCAGGUUGACCUCGGAUCAGGUAGGGAUACCCGCUGAACUUAAGCAUAUCAAUAAGCGGAGGA
rnacentral:misc_RNA from 1 species